rnacentral:rRNA from 1 species
UUGCUCUUAUGAAGUUAGCGGCGGACGGGUGAGUAACACGUGGGUAACCUGCCCAUAAGACUGGGAUAACUCCGGGAAACCGGGGCUAAUACCGGAUAACAUUUUGAACCGCAUGGUUCGAAAUUGAAAGGCGGCUUCGGCUGUCACUUAUGGAUGGACCCGCGUCGCAUUAGCUAGUUGGUGAGGUAACGGCUCACCAAGGCAACGAUGCGUAGCCGACCUGAGAGGGUGAUCGGCCACACUGGGACUGAGACACGGCCCAGACUCCUACGGGAGGCAGCAGUAGGGAAUCUUCCGCAAUGGACGAAAGUCUGACGGAGCAACGCCGCGUGAGUGAUGAAGGCUUUCGGGUCGUAAAACUCUGUUGUUAGGGAAGAACAAGUGCUAGUUGAAUAAGCUGGCACCUUGACGGUACCUAACCAGAAAGCCACGGCUAACUACGUGCCAGCAGCCGCGGUAAUACGUAGGUGGCAAGCGUUAUCCGGAAUUAUUGGGCGUAAAGCGCGCGCAGGUGGUUUCUUAAGUCUGAUGUGAAAGCCCACGGCUCAACCGUGGAGGGUCAUUGGAAACUGGGAGACUUGAGUGCAGAAGAGGAAAGUGGAAUUCCAUGUGUAGCGGUGAAAUGCGUAGAGAUAUGGAGGAACACCAGU